rfam:Nelumbo nucifera unplaced genomic scaffold scaffold00214, whole genome shotgun sequence
AUUUCAUGGUGAGGACACUUCCUAAGCAUUUCUUUAAAUCGUUCCCAUGCCUCAUACAAGGAUUCCCUCUCUAAUUGAGAAAAAGUAGUGAUAUCAUUAAUUAAUUU